rnacentral:rRNA from 1 species
AAUCAACGCUGGCGGCGUGCCUCAGACAUGCAAGUCGAACGAUUAAAGCUCUCUUCGGAGAGUGUAUAGAGUGGCGCACGGGUGAGUAACACGUAAGUAAUCUACCUUUGAGUGGGGAAUAACGUCCGGAAACGGACGCUAAUACCGCAUAAUGCAGCGGCAUCGCAAGAUGACAGUUGUUAAAGAUUUAUCGCUUGAAGAGGAGCUUGCGGCAGACUAGCUAGUUGGUAAGGUAAUGGCUUACCAAGGCUACGAUCUGUAACCGGUCUAAGAGGACGGUCGGUCACACUGACACUGAAUAACGGGUCAGACUCCUACGGGAGGCAGCAGUCGGGAAUUUUGGGCAAUGGGCGAAAGCCUGACCCAGCAACGCCGCGUGAAGGAUGAAGUAUUUCGGUAUGUAAACUUCGAAAGAAUGGGAAGAAUAAAUGACGGUACCAUUUAUAAGGUCCGGCUAACUCCGUGCC